ACCAGCAUAGCAUAGUGGUUUGAGUGUUGAACUAAAACUCUGGAGACCAGGGUUUGAUUCCCUGUUCAGUCA